rnacentral:rRNA from 1 species
CCCUUAGAUGUUCUGGGCCGCACGCGCGCUACACUGGUGCAGUCAACAAGCUUUCGCAACGAACCUUGGUCGGAAGGCCCGGGGAAUCUUCGAAACUGCAUCGUGAUGGGGAUAGAUUCUUGUAAUUUUUAAUCUUCAACGAGGAAUUCCUAGUAAACGCGAGUCACCAGCUCGCAUUGAUUACGUCCCUGCCCUUUGUACACACCGCCCGUCGCUACUACCGAUUGGACGUUUUAGUGAGGAUUUUGGACUGAGCCAAUGGUGGUUCACACCACUGUUGUGCAUGGAAAGAUCUCCAAACUUGAGCGUUUAGAGGAAGUAAAAGUCGUAACA